rnacentral:rRNA from 1 species
GUGCCAGCCGCCGCGGUAAUACGAAGGGGGCUAGCGUUGCUCGGAAUUACUGGGCGUAAAGGGCGCGUAGGCGGAUGUUUAAGUUGGGGGUGAAAGCCCGGGGCUCAACCUCGGAACAGCCUUCAAUACUGGACAUCUUGAGUACGGGAGAGGUGAGUGGAACUCCGAGUGUAGAGGUGAAAUUCGUAGAUAUUCGGAAGAACACCAGUGGCGAAGGCGACUCACUGGCCCGUUACUGACGCUGAGGCGCGAAAGCGUGGGGAGCAAACAGGAUUAGAUACCCCCGUAGUCC